UGCCUACGGGGGGCAGCAGUAGGGAAUCUUCCACAAUGGACGAAAGUCUGAUGGAGCAACGCCGCGUGAGUGAAGAAGGGUUUCGGCUCGUAAAGCUCUGUUGGUAGUGAAGAAAGAUAGAGGUAGUAACUGGCCUUUAUUUGACGGUAAUUACUUAGAAAGUCACGGCUAACUACGUGCCAGCAGCCGCGGUAAUACGUAGGGGGCAAGCGUUGUCCGGAUUUAUUGGGCGUAAAGGGAGCGCAGGCGGCAGCG
rnacentral:rRNA from 1 species